CAGCCGCCGCGGUAAUACGUAGGUGGCAAGCGUUGUCCGGAAUUAUUGGGCGUAAAGGGCUCGCAGGCGGUUUCUUAAGUCUGAUGUGAAAGCCCCCGGCUCAACCGGGGAGGGUCAUUGGAAACUGGGAAACUUGAGUGCAGAAGAGGAGAGUGGAAUUCCACGUGUAGCGGUGAAAUGCGUAGAGGUGUGGAGGAACGCCAGUGGCGAAGGCGACUCUCUGGUCUGUAACUGACGCUGAGGAGCGAAAGCGUGGGGAGCGAACAGGAUUAGAUACCCCCGUAGUCCCUGUCUCUUAUAC
rnacentral:rRNA from 1 species